rnacentral:rRNA from 1 species
AGCUCCAAUAGCGUAUAUUAAAGUUGUUGCCGUUAAAAAGCUCGUAGUCGAACUUCGGCCCCUGUCGGUCGGUCCGCCUUCUUGGUGUGUACUUACUCGACGGGGGCUUACCUCCUGGUGAGCUGCGAUGUCCUUUACUGGGUGUCGUAGGGAACCAGGACGUUUACUUUGAAAAAAUUAGAGUGUUCAAAGCAGGCCUACGCCCGAAUACAUUAGCAUGGAAUAAUAGAAUAGGACGCGCGUUCCCAUUUUGUUGGUUUCUGAGAUCGCCGUAAUGUUUAAUAGGGAUAGUUGGGGGCAUUUGUAUUCCGUCGUCAGAGGUGAAAUUCUUGGAUUGCCGGAAGACAAACUAUUGCGAAAGCAUUUGCCAAGGAUGUUUUCAUUGAUCAAGAACGAAGGAAGGGGGAUCGAAAACGAUCAGAUACCGUUGUAGUCUCUUCUGUAAACUAUGCCAAUUGGGGAUUAGACCAGGAUUUUUAAUGACUGGUUUAGCACCCGAAGAGAAAUCUUUAAAUGAGGUUCGGGGGGGAGUAUGGUCGCAAGGCUGAAACUUAAAGGAAUUGACGGAAGGGCACCACCAGGUGUGGAGCCUGCG